rnacentral:lncRNA from 1 species
UGAGUUACAGGGUGAGUAAUUUUUACUGUUUUACGAGAAGCCGUGAACUUUGCAGCCUGUUGUGGAGGACAUUGUGGGGCCCUAUUAAUUCCUAUGCUACCCAACUGAGGGGGCAUCUGAUGACCCAUUUGCGAUGAGUAGUUCAAGUUUUGACCCUGAUGCAUCAAUCCUUGAGACUGCAUCAUAUGUGGUGGUCGAAGACCUGAAACAAACAUUGGUGGAUUUCCCAUGGGUAAAGGAAUAGACAUCCCCAUUUGUAUUGGGAUUGGCAAAGAUGUGGU